rnacentral:rRNA from 1 species
AGAGUUUGAUCCUGGCUCAGAACGAACGUUGGCGGCGUGGAUUAGGCAUGCAAGUCGAACGAAUGCUGGCCUUGUAGCAAUACCGGGCCAGAGGAAGUGGCGAAAGGGGCAGUAAUGCAUGGAUAACCUACCUUGGGGAUGGGCAUAGCCGUUCUAACGAGCGGGUAAUACCCAGAGAUUCAGCGAAGGGGCAUCUCUUUGCUGGGAAAUGAGUUUCGCCUCGAGAGGGGUCCAUGUGCUAUUAGCUAGUUGGUGGGGUAACGGCCUACCAAGGCAAAGAUGGCUAGCGGGUGUGAGAGCACGACCCGCGCCACUGGCACUGAGACACUGGCCAGACACCUACGGGUGGCUGCAGUCGAGGAUCUUCGUCAAUGGGCGCAAGCCUGAACGAGCGACGCCGCGUGCGCGAUGAAGGCCUUCGGGUUGUAAAGCGCGAAAGUGGAGAGAAAGGGAAACUUGAUCAAUCCACAGUAAGGACGGGCUAAGUUCGUGCCAGCAGCCGCGGUAAGACGAACUGUCCAAACGUUGUUCGGAAUCACUGGGCUUAAAGGGCGCGUAGGCGGUCAAACAAGUCAGGGGUGAAAUCCUGCAGCUCAACUGUAGAAGUGCCUCUGAUACUGUUUGCCUAGAGGGAGAUAGGGGUGUGCGGAACUUCCAGUGGAGCGGUGAAAUGCGUUGAUAUUGGAAGGAACGCCGGAGGCGAAAGCGGCGCACUGGAUCUCUUCUGACGCUGAGGCGCGAAAGCUAGGGGAGCAAACGGGAUUAGAUACCCUAGUAGUCC